CAUCGAUGAAGAACGCAGCGAAAUGCGAUAAGUAAUGUGAAUUGCAGAAUUCAGUGAAUCAUCGAAUCUUUGAACGCACAUUGCGCCCCGCCAGUAUUCUGGCGGGCAUGCCUGUUCGAGCGUCAUUUCAACCCUCAAGCCCUGCUUGGUGUUGGG
rnacentral:rRNA from 1 species